GUUAAUGAUAAAUGAAAGCCCUGUUUCUCCUGAACAAAAUUAUAUAUAAUAAGUGUGGGUGCACUUAAUGUGACAGCGGUGAAUUACGGUUGAACAGACAUAUAGCGCAAAUUCCAGUUUUUGUUUACGUUUUGUUUUGAUCAGAACGUGUACUAUUGACUCCGUUCUGAAGGGGUUAAAUCAAAACAUGUAGAUAGCUUGACACAUAUAUGGUAGCUCUAAAAUAAAUAUAGAGGGAACUGAUCAGAAGGUACGUGCAAAAAAAACUACAGACAGCAUGUUCACCUAAUGUCAACUGAUCUUGGAUAGGUAGAUGUUCCUAGGCUGGGAGUAGCAAUAAUAAAACCCCUUUUCAAUAACAAAAUGAAAUGGAGAGGGUAUAUGAAAAGUAAGAAGUAAGCAUACUUGUGGCAAAACCAGCCUCGCCACUGGGCAUUGGAGAAGACUGAUUGCCUGCCUCCUGCACUGUGACUAUGGCCCCAUGUUGAAAUGCUUGAUUUUCCACUGCAAAGACCCGAAAGCCGGGUCUUUCGGUACUUUCCCUAUUUGAACAGUGAUACCCCAGAUAAGCUAUGCCAUGGAGCCCAUUCGUAUAACGAAAGACUAUGUGAAAGACUUUGGCUCCAUGGCAAUUGAACUGUAUGUAUGUGAUCUGAGUGCCAUUCAGUAAUAAUGUGCGCUCAGAUCUAAGCUAUCUGGGCAUAUGUUGAAUGUACCCGUUUUAUGCAGUAGCUGCACAGUUAUAUAUUAAGGUGCCGUCCUUCCUCCCCAGCGGCAGUGUGUCCUGCAGGGAGCAGAGACAGUUGGUCUCACUCCCCAGCAGCGGGACAAUAUAUUAAAAGGGGAGACAGUCAGUCCCCCUCUCCACCAGCAGAGAGGGUGUCAGGGAGAGGAGCCUGUUACCCCUCUCUCCAGCGGCUGAAGGUGUGUAAGGGAGAGGAGCUUGUUACCCCCUCUUCCCAGCUGCAACAUAGCCCACCAAGGGGAGACACUAAGCUCCCCAUCGGCGCAGAUGGGACCGUGGUCUCUGCGCCCAAGCUACAGGGAGUACAGACAGUCGGUCCUGCUUCCCAACGGCAGAGUAUUCCCCUCCCCAGUGGAAGCCUAGCCCACCAAGGGGAGAUGAUAAGCCCCGCACCGGUGCAGAUGGGACCGUGGUGUCUGUGCCCAAACCACAGGGGGUAGGGACGGUCAGUCCUGUCCCCCAGCAGCAGGGCUGUUUAUCCAAAGGGGAGACAGCCUGUCUUUCUCUCCAGCAGCAACCCCAGGUCCAGAGGGAGGAGCCUUCUAACCCUUCUCCUCAGCUGGGCUCCAACCAGGCUACUCCCAUGGUAGCGCUGGCACCAGGGCAGCGUACCGCUGGUCUCUGCCCACUCAGCAACCCACCGAUCUGGAAGGCUAGUACCCCGCAGAGCCGUGGUGGAGCCCCUUGACAUGGACAAGCUACCCACUGCCCCAGGUGCAGUAACCAAUUCUUGUGGGUGGGCCACUCUGCUGAUUAUGUUUUGUGGGUGGGUUGCUGGACUAACCAAGGAACUGACCGACAGGAGGUCAGAUACCUUGUUAGUCUUUUUGGGAAAGGGGAGAAACGUGGCGAAACCAGCCUCGUCACUGGGCAUUGGAGAAGACUGAUUGCCUGCCUCCUGCCCUGUGAAGUAGAACUGCCAGAGCUGUGGAUUUAUUGUUCUUAUAUUCACAUUCUUACACAUUAGUACCACCCCAUGUUGAAAUGCUUAAUUUUCCCCUGCAAAGACCCGAAAGCUGGGUCAUUCGGUACUUUCCCUAUUUGAACAGUGAUACACCAGAUAGCUAUGCCAUGGAGCCCAUUCGUAUAACGAAAGACUAUGUGAAAGACUUUGGCUCCAUGGCAAUUGAACUGUAUGUAUGUGAUCUGAGCGCCAUUCAGUAAUAAUGUGCACUCAGAUCUAAGCUAUCUGGG
rnacentral:lncRNA from 1 species